rnacentral:rRNA from 1 species
AUUGAACGCUGGCGGCAGGCCUAACACAUGCAAGUCGAGCGGCUCGGCGGACGGGUGCGUAAUGCCUAGGUAUCUGCCUGGUCGUGGGGGAUAACGUCCGGCAACGGGCGCUAUUACCGCAUACUAUUAGAUGAGUCUAUGUCGGAUUAGCUAGUUGGCGGGGUAAAGGCCUACAAAGGCGACGAUCCGUAGCUGGUCUUAGAGGAUGAUCAGUCACACUGGAACUGAGACACGGUCCAGAAUCCUACGGGAGGCAGCAGUGGGGAAUAUUGGACAAUGGGCGAAAGCAUGAUCCAGCAAUGCCGCGUGUGUGAAGAAGGUCUUCGGAUUGUAAAGCACUUUAAGUUGGGAGGCGUUACCAACAGAAUAAGCACCGGCUAACUUCGUGCCAGCAGCCGCGGUAAUUC